AACGAACGCUGGCGGCAGGCCUAACACAUGCAAGUCGAACGAGGGCUUCGGUCCUAGCGGCGGACGGGGGAAGAACGAGUGGGAACGUGCCCUUUGCGUCGGAAUAGCACUGGGAAGCUGGGCGUAAUACCGGAUGAGCUAUUUGGGGAAAAGAUUUAUCGGCGUAGGAUGGGCCCGCGUUGGAUUAGGUAGUUGGUGGGGUAAGGGCCUACCAAGCCGACGAUCGAUAGCUGGUUUGAGAGGAUGAUCGGCCACACUGGGACUGAGACACGGCCCAGACUCCUACGGGAGGCAGCAGUGGGGAAUCUUAGACAAUGGGGGAAACCCUGAUCUAGCCAUGCCGCGUGAGCGAUGAAGGUCUUAGGGUUGUAAAGCUCUUUCAGCUGGGAAGAUAAUGACGGUACCAGAAGAAGAAGCCCCGGCUAACUCCGUG
rnacentral:rRNA from 1 species